rnacentral:rRNA from 1 species
GACGAACGCUGGCGGCGUGCUUAACACAUGCAAGUCGAACGGAAAGGCCCUGCUUUUGUGGGGUGCUCGAGUGGCGAACGGGUGAGUAACACGUGAGUAACCUGCCCUUGACUUUGGGAUAACUUCAGGAAACUGGGGCUAAUACCGGAUAGGAGCUCCUGCUGCAUGGUGGGGGUUGGAAAGUUUCGGCGUUUGGGGAUGGACUCGCGGCUUAUCAGCUUGUUGGUGGGGUAGUGGCUUACCAAGGCUUUGACGGGUAGCCGGCCUGAGAGGGUGACCGGCCACAUUGGGACUGAGGUACGGCCCAGACUCCUACGGGAGGCAGCAGUGGGGAAUAUUGCACAAUGGGCGGAAGCCUGAUGCAGCAACGCCGCGUGCGGGAUGACGGCCUUCGGGUUGUAAACCGCUUUCGCCUGUGACGAAGCGUGAGUGACGGUAAUGGGUAAAGAAGCACCGGCUAACUACGUG